UCUGUCCCAGGUGCAGCCACAGGAGUCCUGGCCAGGACUGGUGAAACCCUCCCAGCAGCUGUUCCUCAGCUGCACUGUUUCUGGUGUCUCCAUCACCAGCACAGGUUACAACUGGAACUGGAUCUGCCCGACCUCAGAGAAUGGACUGCAGUGGAUGGGAUACAGAGAUUAUGAUGAUGGUCCAGAUUAUAGCCUGUCCUUCCUGAGCCAACUCUCCGUCACCAGAGACACAUCGAGGAAUCAGUUCUCUCUGCAGCUGAGCUCCGACAUGGCAGUGUAUUACUGUGCCGGAGCACAGUGAUGGAAGUCAGUGAGCCCACACACAAACCUCCCCUGCAGGGAAGACACUGGGCAGCAGGGGGCACUCAGGACCCACUGAGCACAAACACCCAGCCCUAGACAAGUACAGAUGGAUGGCAGGGAGUAUUUCCUGUUGAAUGAGGGCUUCCUCUCUUACCUCUCAGCAUCCCCUGGGAUAGUUUUUCUUUUCCCCACCACACCAUCCUCUCAAUUUUCUCCUCACUGCAGCUUGAAGGGAGGAACAAAUAUUAAAGUGAUUCUGAAACGUCAUAGUCAUCCUAUAUGACCCAUUGUCCUUCUCGACAAACAGAUAAUCAUGUGUAAGGACGUCUUAACAGUUAUUUCUGUUAAACCAAUGGCUGAGGUCACCAGCAAAAGCACAGCUUAUACACAGGCAUUGGAUGCAACAGCAGUUUACUCACACAGAAGAGACAGAGGCGGCUCAUCUUCAGGAGUGGGCAGCGGUCUCCACAGCCAGAGGUUUCACUGUGCGGCCAGCGCAGGGAUGGAGGUCUGCAAGUAUCCCUUGUUUGUGCUACAGUUGAAGAACAGUGUUCCCUCCUCAACAGCAAAGGUGCAGCUACAAGAGUCAGGCCCUGGACUGGUGAACCCCUCAUGAACCCUGUCACCUGUGCUGUCUCUGGAUUCUCUUUAAACAGCUAUGGUGUGGACUGGAUCUGCCAGGUUCCAGGAAAGAGAUUGGACUGGGUUGGUGUAAUAUGGAGUGGUGGGAGCACAGAGUAUAAUAUAGCUCUCCUAGUCCCAAAUCAGCAUCACCAAGGACACCUCCAAGAGCCAAGUUCCUUUAAAACUGAGCUCCAUGAAUCCUGAGCACACAGCCGUGUAUUACUGUGCUAGAGACAUAGUGAUUGGAAGUCAGUGUGUGCGUAGACACAAACCUUAGUACAUCAGGUCAUGGUUUCAGCAGAUGUGAAAGAGACAAGUCAGUGAUGCUUUCCUCUCAGAAGCUGUGGUGCCCCCACCUUGUCAGCACCUCUCUAGGGACCACAAAGCACAGUCUCUAGUGAAACUUCAUGUAUCUGAACAUGCCUUCUUUUUAUUGGAAUGGGCUUUGUCUGUUUGGCCAUUUAUCCAAAGGCAGACUUCAAAGUUAUAGGUAUCGAUGAAAUCUCAAUUGACAGUUCAGGAUACUAAAUAGUGCUGUUUGUUGUCAAAGUUAGAAAUAUUGGAAGAAAAAAAAAGCCCAAACUCGCUGCCAUCGAGUUGAGGACAAUUUAUAGUGAUUCCCCUGUGGGUCUCUAAGAUUCUAACUGCCUAUGGGAGUAGAAAGGCAUGUCUUUCUUCUUUGGAGUGGGCACUGGCAAACAGAUCUCAGCGCACCGCAUAACCCCUAUGCCACCAAUCUCAUUAUAAAAUUACUAAUGCAGGAAUAAAUUCUCAUGUUAGCUCCAAAUGUUCUCCAUGCCAUCA